rnacentral:lncRNA from 1 species
CACUGGUAUCCCAGAAGCUUUCAACAGAGGGUAACAGAUGGAGAAAGUCAUGACUGGUCAAAAUACAGAGAAAAAUUGACCCUGACCGUGAGGUGCUAAGUCCUGAGAAUAUGGAAUGAAGAGUUACUGCCAUGGCCUUUGACAGCAUUGUGUAGUUGGGAAGGCCCAUCUCACACAGAGAAUGACACAGGAAUGACACAGGAAAAGCAACAGCCACCAACCGUACCCAAGGAGGACUGAGAGACCUGGUGUGACCCACAGCUGCAACAUUGUAGUCAUAUUGUCAACAUGGAUACCUGGCUCCAGGAGGCAGCACCAAGAGGCCAUCAGAGAAAUCUCAACCUUGGGAUUUGGGGGAAAGAGAAAUAGUGAAAGGAGGUUACAUUUUAGUAUGUGUUGAUGAUGUGUAUGGGAUGAAAGCAUGAGCAGAAAUAGGGGAAUGUCUUGUGAUAAUUAUCCCAGCUGUCAGAUACAAAAACAUCUGAACACAACACGUUAGUGGCCACACCCCUUUGGGCGUGGCUUCUGAUGCAGGAACUGGAAGGUAGGGAAGACUGGGGCAGG